rnacentral:rRNA from 1 species
AUGCUGUUGACUGCUGUGGCAUUGGACGCUAAUGAUUUUUCCAUUCCAGUAGCAUGUGCUAUCGUUGAGGGUGAGACCAAGGAAAGUUGGUUGUGGUUUCUUAGGAAUUUGGAGCGAGCAGUGGUGCAUCAGUCUGAUGUGUGCAUUAUACACGACUACAAAAGGGAGUUGAUUGAUGCUGUGGAAGACCUUCUGAAAUACGAAUAUCGACAGUGGCGUAAAGCAGAAAGCCGGUGGUGCAUGGAAGACCUUGCUGAAAACUUCUUUGCGUAUUUUGGCGACAAGAAGCUGCUGCUGAUGUUCAAGAAACUUUGCCAGCAGAAGCGACGCCAUAAGUUUGGUAAAAUCUGGAAGGAGCUAGACGAGUUAACGUCCACAUAUAUGGCGGAGAAAGAACGUGGCGCUAGUGGGAAAAUGCAGCAGGAAUCAGUCAAGCAUGAGGUGGCAGACCUUGAGGCACAAAGCCAAUGUAACCAACAUGAUUCUGUGAAGGAUGGGAAGGAAGAAGAUCAUGCCGAUGACACCAAAGGAAAGAUAACAAAGUUCUCUGAUUGGAUCAGUCUGAAACCAAAGGAGAAGUGGUCACUGGCAUAUGACAGAGAUGGAGCAAGGUAUGGCUUCAUGGGCAGUGAUAUAGCUGAUGUAUAUAAGAACGACCCUGUGUUGAAAGGUAUCACAUGCCUUCCGCUCAGUGCGAUAGUGGAGGUUGACAUGAAUUCCAAAAUGCAGAAAUCU